CAGUACUGGACAUUGCGGGCCGAAGAGAUUCCUGAAGAAGAGAAGAAUCUAGGCCUGAAUGCUCGUUUGAUUCAUGUGUAUCACUUCACUAAAGAAACUGCACAAAACCAAAUGCAAAUUCAGAAUUUUGGGGAACCUUUCCUCUUGGUUAUCCAUGAGGGUGAGACUUUAGCUCAAGUGAAGGUGCGAAUACAGAAGAAAUUGCAGGUCCCAGAUGAAGAGUUUGCUAAGUGG
rnacentral:misc_RNA from 1 species